GGGGGGUGGGGGGGUGGGGUGUGUGCGGUGGUGGGUGUGGUUGUGUGAAAUCUGAAUAUCAUCUCCAAAGCCAUUGAUAAUUUUCAGGUCUAUAUGAAUAGGCAAUCCACAUUAUGGGGUCUGAUACAGUAGCUAACCAGCAAGGACAUUUUUUCUUUGCAAAACACCCUCUUCUUGGUACAGGACAAAUGACUUUAAUUAAACUAGAUUUUCAAUUCAGUGAUGUCCUUUCUAACCAUGCAAUAGAUUCAUCAUAAGUUUUCUUCUCAAUCAAGUCAAGGUGACAGAUGAAAGUACUUGUGUACAUAUUGCUUAAAACAAACUUAGGCAUCAAUCAUGGAUAGAGGUUGACAUUCAGUUGGUUUGGUUAAACUGAACCAAAAUUUAGGAGUAACUAUUAUCACUGCAGCCUUUUAAAACAGACUCAGUCAAACCCAAAUAUGGCUACAGUAACUUCAGUUGUUGGUGGCUUUUAAAUAAGCCAUUUUUCAUAUUAGACCUUUUCAAAAGGUCCCUAGGACCCAUAUAGAAUAUGGGAAGAAAAACAAAAACAAAGACAACCAAUCCAA
rnacentral:misc_RNA from 1 species